rnacentral:rRNA from 1 species
GAUGAACGCUGGCGGCGUGCUUAACACAUGCAAGCCGAACGGUGAACGAGGGAGCUUGCUCCCUCCGGAUCAGUGGCGAACGGGUGAGUAACACGUGAGCAAUCUGCCCUGGACUCUGGGAUAAGCGUUGGAAACGACGUCUAAUACCGGAUACGAGGCGUGGGGGCAUCCCCAACGCCUGGAAAGAACUUCGGUCCAGGAUGAGCUCGCGGCCUAUCAGCUAGUUGGUGAGGUAACGGCUCACCAAGGCGACGACGGGUAGCCGGCCUGGGAGGGGGACCGGCCACACUGGGACUGAGACACGGCCCAGACUCCUACGGGAGGCAGCAGUGGGGAAUAUUGCACAAUGGGCGCAAGCCUGAUGCAGCGACGCCGCGUGAGGGACGACGGCCUUCGGGUUGUAAACCUCUUUUAGCAGGGAAGAAGCGAAAGUGACGGUACCUGCAGAAAAAGCACCGGCUAACUACGUGCCAGCCGCCGCCGUAAAAC